rnacentral:lncRNA from 1 species
CCUCCGCCUCCGAGCUGUGGAUGUCCAGGGGCUGAGUGGUGCCAAAGCGACAAGCAAUCCGCUGCUCCGGGUUUUACGAGCAGCACGAGGAAGAGCCUGGACCGGGCUGGGGAAGCUGUCAGUGGAGGCGGUCUUCAGGAAAGCCAUCGCUUCCCUUGGGCAAAGGGCAUCUAGUUCCCAAUUAACCGAAGCAGCUUGCAUCAGCUCAGAAACUCUGACCCUAUCAAAUGAAAUCCUCUUGCUCUCUCCCAAUGAGAGACAGCCCUGCAAUGUGUCCUCCCAACAGAGCAUGCUCUACCCAGGAAGC